rnacentral:rRNA from 1 species
UGGGGGCGUUGCCUAACCAUGGCAAGUCGAACGAGAAAGUCCGCAAGGAUGAGUAAAGUGGCGACCGGGUGAGUAACACGUGACUAACCUACCUCCAAGUGGGGAAUAACUCCGGGAAACCGGGGCUAAUACCGCAUAACAUCGCAAGAUCAAAGCAGCAAUGCGCUGGGAGAGGGGGUCGCGGCUGAUUAGCUAGUUGGCGGGGUAACGGCCCACCAAGGCGAAGAUCGGUAUCCGGCCUGAGAGGGCGCACGGACACACUGGAACUGAAACACGGUCCAGACUCCUACGGGAGGCAGCAGUGGGGAAUUUUGCGCAAUGGGGGAAACCCUGACGCAGCAACGCCGCGUGGAGGAUGAAGUCCCUUGGGACGUAAACUCCUUUCGACCAAGACGAUAAUGACGGUACUGGUGGAAGAAGCACCGGCUAACUCUGUGCCAGCAGCCGCGGUAAUACAGAGGGUGCAAGCGUUGUUCGGAA